rnacentral:rRNA from 1 species
UACGUAGGGUGCGAGCGUUGUCCGGAAUUAUUGGGCGUAAAGAGCCUGUAGGCGGUCUGUCGCGUCUGCUGUGAAAAUCCGGGGCUCAACCCCGGACUUGCAGUGGGUACGGGCAGACUAGAGUGUGGUAGGGGAGACUGGAAUUCCUGGUGUAGCGGUGAAAUGCGCAGAUAUCAGGAGGAACACCUAUUGCGAAGGCAGCUCGCUGGGACGUAACUGACGCUGAGACGCGAAAGCGUGGGGAGCAAACAGG